GUACGUUUAACGUCAGAAAUGCUUAUUAAGUUCCUUUUUCCUUUUUGAAUUCCUUGCGGGAUUAUGCGGAGAGAUUCGGAGAUUCCGAGGGAUAGUUGUUAGAUUUUACUUUAUAUGGAAAAAUUGCUUGAAACAACGGUUUUGUCUUAAUUUCGUCAUUCUGAAUCCAACGAGACCAUCCGCAAGGUCAUAGCUCUAAUAGUAGCUGAGAUAUGGCAUUUUUGGAGCCCAUUUUUGGCCUCAAAAACGAGGUCCAAAAAAUACUCGAUUUCUUAGUUCUGCUCGGAUUCCCUUAUAACCCGGUAUUUUCGUGAUCUACUUGAUGAGAACAAUCCGCUGGUAUAGUUAGUUCGAAUUAGAAAAAAAAAAAUUUUCUGAAAAAAAUCCAAACGGGGGGGUAUACCCGAAAAAUGAAAAAACCCAAACUUUGAAGGCCGAUAUCUCAGCUUCUAUGGGAGCUAUCGGGAAAAUUCCAACGGUUUUGUCUUAGUUUCGUCAUUCUGAAUCCAACGAGACCAUUUGCAAGAUCAUAGCUCUAAUAGCAGCUGAGAUAUGGCAUUUUUGGAGCCCAUUUUUGGCCUCAAAAACGAUGUCAAAAAGUGAUAAAUUUCCGAAUUUUCAAAGUGCUCUCAUUCCGUUAUUUCUGAUCGAAUCCUGUCAUAACCCGGUAUUUUCGUGAUCUACUUGAUGAAAACAAUCCGCUGGUAUAGUUAGUUCGAAUUCGAAAAAAAAAAAUUUUCUGAAAAAAAUCCAAACGGGGGGUAUACCCGAAAAAUGAAAAAACCCAAACUUUGAAGGCCGAUAUCUCAGCUUCUAUGGGAGCUAUCGGGAAAAUUCCAACGGUUUUGUCUUAGUUUCGUCAUUCUGAAUCCAACGAGACCAUCCGCAAGGUCAUAGCUCUAAUAGUAGCUGAGAUAUGGCAUUUUUGGAGCCCAUUUUUGGCCUCAAAAACGAGGUCCAAAAAAUACUCGAUUUCUUAGUUCUGCUCGGAUUCCCUUAUAACCCGGUAUUUUCGUGAUCUACUUGAUGAGAACAAUCCGCUGGUAUAGUUAGUUCAAAUUCGAAAAAAAAAAUUUUUUCUGAAAAAAAUCGAAACGGGGGGGUAUACCCGAAAAAUGAAAAAACCCAAACUUUGAAGGCCGAUAUCUCAGCUUCUAUGGGAGCUAUCGGGAAAAUUCCAACGGUUUUGUCUUAGUUUCGUCAUUCUGAAUCCAACGAGACCAUCCACAAGGUCAUAGCUCUAAUAGUAGCUGAGAUAUGGCAUUUUUGGAGCCCAUUUUUGGCCUCAAAAACGAGGUCCAAAAAAUACUCGAUUUCUUAGUUCUGCUCGGAUUCCCUUAUAACCCGGUAUUUUCGUGAUCUACUUGAUGAGAACAAUCCGCUGGUAUAGUUAGUUCAAAUUCGAAAAAAAAAAUUUUUUCUGAAGAAAAUCGAAACGGGGGGGGUAUACCCGAAAAAUGAAAAAACCCAAACUUUGAAGGCCGAUAUCUCAGCUUCUAUGGGAGCUAUCGGGAAAAUUCCAACGGUUUUGUCUUAGUUUCGUCAUUCUGAAUCCAACGAGACCAUCCCCAAGGUCAUAGCUCUAAUAGUAGCUGAGAUAUGGCAUUUUUGGAGCCCAUUUUUGGCCUCAAAAACGAGGUCCAAAAAAUACUCGAUUUCUUAGUUCUGCUCGGAUUCCCUUAUAACCCGGUAUUUUCGUGAUCUACUUGAUGAGAACAAUCCGCUGGUAUAGUUAGUUCAAAUUCGAAAAAAAAAAUUUUUUCUGAAGAAAAUCGAAACGGGGGGGGUAUACCCGAAAAAUGAAAAAACCCAAACUUUGAAGGCCGAUAUCUCAGCUUCUAUGGGAGCUAUCGGGAAAAUUCCAACGGUUUUGUCUUAGUUUCGUCAUUCUGAAUCCAACGAGACCAUCCCCAAGGUCAUAGCUCUAAUAGUAGCUGAGAUAUGGCAUUUUUGGAGCCCAUUUUUGGCCUCAAAAACGAGGUCCAAAAAAUACUCGAUUUCUUAGUUCUGCUCGGAUUCCCUUAUAACCCGGUAUUUUCGUGAUCUACAAUUUACGAAAAGGUAGUGGCAUCAAUGGAUAGAAAAAGGAUACAGCUAUCAGCACGUGUAAUAAACAUUUUUAUAAAGUGUACCAUUAAACAGUAAUGAAUUUUCAAAAUAUAUUAAUAUUUGUUAAUCAGAGCGAUGUGGAACAAGAAAAAGUUUCCAAAUAAACGGUUUCGCAGUAAAAGCAUUAUCAUUCCUGACCAGUUUGAGGUACAUUAUUGGUAGUACCAUCAAAGGAUUGGAGAAGGAUAGAGCUAUAAGUACGUAUAAUUAUCAUUUUUAUAAAGCGUUUCGUUAAACAGUAAUGAAUUUUCAAAAUAGGUUAAUAAUUAUUAAUCAGAGCAUUGUGGGAUAAGAGUUUUUAGAUAAAAAUUACUUAAUGUGAGUCUUUGUGUUAAAGUUGCAAAUUUUUGCACUGCAUCGCACUCUAACAUAUUAAUAUUGGUGUACCAGGAUAUGUGUGGAAAAGUGGAAUAUUCUAUAUUUCAAUCUCCGAUACUUACGAAAUGGUGUCCCCAUUAGCUUUAUUAUAAAC